ensembl:lncRNA
CUGGCGUCCACAGGUGGGGAGAGAACAGCGCUCCCAGAAGCCGGAUGAAAGGAGUCGCUCCGGGUCACGAGCUUGGCAUUUCCCAGCUCCGCCUCCGUGUCCACUCACCUCCAAGGUCAGCCUCUGCAGAGCCACACAACCCGCGGGAGGGACCCCUCCAGGCCCCAGGGGGCUGGCAAGGAGGACUGGGAUGGGACAGCAGCCACCGUGUGGUACAGAAGUGAAUCCUGUGGCCCCCACCUGUCUGGGAGCGAGUCUGGGCUCUGCCGGUGUGAUGCUGGGUGAGAAAACAGGCCCAGAGAAGGUGGGUCCUUGCCCAGGCUCACACAGCUACGGAGCAGUAGAAGCUGGCAUUUGAAACUGAGCCCCAAGACAGAUUCGUGUUGGCAGAUGUAUAAACUGAAUACUGACCCUCCAGAGAGAUCCACGCCCUAAUCCCGGGAACCCCUGUGAAUGUCACCUCCCGAUGGCAAAGGGAUUCUGCAGAUGGGAAGAAGUGAAGGAUCUUGAGAUGGGAACAUUAUCCCCGAUUAUCCAGGUGGGCCUAAUGUCAUUGCAAGGAUCCUUCUCAGAGGGAGGUGGGAGCGUCAGAGUGGGAAGAAGAGAAUGGACAGCAGAGGGAGGAAAGGCCACGUGAUGUGGGAAUGAAGGCAGCACCCAUUCUAGAAAAGCCAGGAAGGGAAUUUCCCCUAGAACCCCCAGAAGGAAGAGCCCGGCUGACACCUUUCACCCAGUGACACAGACCUCGGACUUCGGACUCCAGAACUGUAAGGUAAUAAAAGCGUGUUGUUUUAAGCUAUGAGGCUCUGGGCCAUUUUUUACAGCAGCCACAGGAAACUAAGAAACAGGCAAAUGAGAUAAUGUCUGAAAAGCCCCUGGCAUACAGUUGGAGCUCACUAAAUGCUCUUUCCUCUUCCAGCUAUAAGUCCCGGGAUCUUCCAGCUCAACCAGCCCAUUUUACUGACGACGUGGAGCCUGAGGCCACAGUUAGGGGUCAACUUGCCCCGUCCCGCCGAGAUGAGUGGCGGGAGGGCGCUGUCUCCUGGCACAUCCUGGGGGUCCUUGCUCUGCUCUUCUGGACUCCAGCCCUGGGCAGCCUGGGCGAAAUCAUCUAGUCCAAACCCAUUUUCCGAGUGAGGAAACUGAGGCCUGGAGUUGUCCGAGAGUUGGACUCGAGUCCCUAAGUGACAGGGGAUGUGCAGGCCCUGAAUCCCCAGGGAGUCCUCUCGGCAAGGCCCUCCCCUCCCCCUCUGGAGCGCCGCUCCUCCCCGUGUAUCCCCAGCAGACAGGGGCCAGCGGGGUCUGGGAAAACCACAUCAGGAGCGGCCCAGCUGUGGUGCAGGAAUUCGAGAGCAGCUCCUUAGUGGCCUUCAGCCUGGGAAAGCUCUGAGGCCUUCCUGUCCCCGCCCGCCUUGCCGCUUAGGGCCAGCCCUGUCCCCAAGGCUGUGAGAAGUCGCCUGGAGGCAGUGUCCAGUGGGGUGGAGGAAAGAGCGGCCUAGAAUGGAGGGACUUGAUCCCCGAUCCUAAGCCAGUUAGUGGCAUUAUCCUGGAUUAUCCUAAACCGAGCUCAGGGCCCUGGGCUUGUCUAGGGGAGCAUAGGUCUCCCUGCCCCCGGCAUGUGGGGGUUCCAGUGGUGCCCUAACACCCAGCGACACAGGCACAGUUCUUACAUAAAGCAUUCACACCCACUGGCACCCUCAGACCUCACAACAACCCUGUAACGGCGAGGCUGCUGCUGUCCCAUUUUACAGAUGGAGAAACUGAGGCUCGGAGAGAGAAAGGGACUCUCCCCAAGUCAAGGUCCUGUGGUGGCAGCACUGGGACUCUGCUAACUCCGUGAGUUCUCGCGAUGACCCUGGACUCGUCUCUGGCAAUUCGGUCCCAGUCUUGCUGUGGGGCCUUGAGUAAUCUCCCUCUCUGAGCCUCGACUCUCCUCUGUGAACUAGGACAUAAUAAUAGUAUCCACCUCAUUGGGGCGCCUGCGGAAUCACCGAGUGCGUGAGCCCCGCGCCUGGCACGCGGUGAGCGCUCCAUCUUCGCUGAGCCUCAUCACCAUCACACUAGCCGAUUGGAUAACCGCAAAUACUACUGCGCGGGGCCAGGAGCCCAGCACAACACGCCCUGCCCCCGGGGCUGGGGGAAGACGCCAAUAAACACACAGGUCCUGCGGGAGGUGAAGGAACGACCACGAGAGCAAGGAGGGGGCUGCCUGGCGUGUUCAAGCAACACUGAAGAGGCCAGUGUGGUCCUAGGGGGUUAGAGACGCGGCAGUGGCAGGAGGAGAAACCAGAGAGGUGGGGGGUGGGGCAGAGCCACCGACCACGGUGGCCUUUGGGCGGACAUCAGCUUUCCUUGAGCCAAGUGGGGAGCCAUCGCAAGGUGUCCUCAUUGUCCACUAAACGCUCAAAGCCUGAAAUGGGCCCUUAGACCCUGGGUCACUGUCUGAGGAGUGGAAUGGCCACCCGCUAGCUAACCACCCUCCUGCGCCCAGGACCCGCCCACGGCCCCGCCCCCUCCCUGCGAUGCUCCAGAACCCUGAGAAUCAGGUGGUCCUAAAGUGUCAGCGCUCAGAGGGACCUUGGAGGCCAUUUGGCUCCAAUUACAGAUGAAGAAAGGAGGCUGGGGCGCGGAGGGGAAGGGGCUUGUCCGGGGCCUCUCAGCGCAUCCGCGGCUGUGCCAGCUGUGACGCCCAAGGCUCCUGCCUCCUGGAGCAGGGCCCCUCCCGCUGCAGAGCCCUCGGUGAACGGGACGUUUUGUUCUUCUGGCCCAGAUCCAAGGAGUCCCCAGGGACACACUCUGGUUUGCCUUUGCCAAAGGCCUCGCCAGCUAAGGGUCCCUUCUAGGCUGUGGGGCUGCAGCCAUGUCUGGCAGAAGCUGCGCCCUCCUGGGGCCGGCCUCCCGCCUGCACCGGCAUUGAGGAGUCCGCGUGCAUGUGAGGAUGGGCACCCUGUGCAGCUCCUCAUCCCAGGCACCCUGCUCCCAGGGCUUCCAUUCCAAGCACAGACAUCGAAACACAAUAAGCAGCCGCUCACUGCCCACUUCCGGGGUCACCCUGUUGGAGCAAGAAGCUCCUGACCUCUCUCCCCACCCCGUGGAUGUUCAUGGUGGUUCUGUAGCUGCCACUACCGGCUCCUCAGCUGCAGUUCAAGGGGAGGGAACACCAGCCAUUCAUACUCUCUGAUCUUGCAUUCAUUCAUCUCUCUAUCUUCUUGCCCAUUGGUCCAUGCAUUCAUCCAUACACCCACCUGCCCAAUUGCCCCACCCACAUAUCUAGCCUUCCAUCCAUCCAUCCAUCCAUCCAUCCAUCCAUCUAUCCAUCCACUGAUCUGAACAGCCACCAGUCUGUCUGAUUGUUACUGGUCCAUCGUCUCAUCCAUCCAACCCGUCCAUCCAGCCAUCCAUCAAUCCAUCC